GGAAUCGUGGCAGAGCGGUUGAAUGCAACGGUCUUGAAAACCGUCGAGGGUAAUACCUCCGUGAGUUCGAAUCUCACCGAUUCCGCCA
rnacentral:tRNA from 1 species